rnacentral:rRNA from 1 species
CCAGACUCCUACGGGAGGCAGCAGUGGGGGAUAUUGCACAAUGGGGGAAACCCUGAUGCAGCGACGCCGCGUGAGUGAAGAAGUAUUUCGGUAUGUAAAGCUCUAUCAGCAGGGAAGAAGAUGACAGUACCUGAGUAAGAAGCCCCGGCUGACUACGUGCCAGCAGCCGCGGUAAUACGUAGGGGGCAAGCGUUAUCCGGAUUUACUGGGUGUAAAGGGAGCGUAGACGGUUGUAUAAGUCUGGAGUGAAAGCCCGGGGCCCAACCCCGGGACUGCUUUGGAAACUGUGUAACUUGAGUACAGGAGGGGCAGGCGGAAUUCCUGGUGUAGCGGUGAAAUGCGUAGAUAUUAGGAGGAACGCCAGUGGCGAAGGCGACUUUCUGGACUGUACCUGACGCUGAGGCGCGAAAGCGUGGGUAGCGAACGGGAUUAGAUACCCGGGUAGA